CUCAAUUUGAGAAUCGACUAAGCUCUCCAUCAAUGUAUUUAUAUUUAAUCAUUAAUUCCACCAAAGGGAUGUUUAUAUAAAAAAAAAAUAUGCUUUAAAUGAUGAUGGGAAGGUUUUAAAUAUCAGUAGCAAUAGGUUUUCUCUCCAGUUCUGUAAACAUUUCCGAAAUGUUCCUUUGACCGAUGCAGACGCUCCACACACAUUAC
rnacentral:lncRNA from 1 species